GAGUUUGAUCGUGGCUCAGAUUGAACGCUGGCGGCAUGCCUUACACAUGCAAGUCGAACGGCAGCAUGAUCUAGCUUGCUAGAUUGAUGGCGAGUGGCGAACGGGUGAGUAAUACAUCGGAACGUGCCCUGUAGUGGGGGAUAACUAGUCGAAAGAUUAGCUAAUACCGCAUACGACCUGAGGGUGAAAGUGGGGGACCGCAAGGCCUCAUGCUAUAGGAGCGGCCGAUGUCUGAUUAGCUAGUUGGUGGGGUAAAGGCCCACCAAGGCGACGAUCAGUAGCUGGUCUGAGAGGACGAUCAGCCACACUGGGACUGAGACACGGCCCAGACUCCUACGGGAGGCAGCAGUGGGGAAUUUGGACAAUGGGCGAAAGCCUGAUCCAGCAAUGCCGCGUGUGUGAAGAAGGCCUCGGUGUAAG
rnacentral:rRNA from 1 species